rnacentral:rRNA from 1 species
AUGAAAAUGAUUGGUCCAUUAUCAUUAUUCUUUUUCCGGGAGAUGGAAUCUUUCCGUUUUCAUAUGCACAAGGAGUCAACUGUGGCGGCUACGUGCGUUGAACUCGAUCCAUCCAUCGCCACCAACCCCAUCGCAGUCAGUCGGACUCUCAGCCGAGCCGACCAGCUGAGAUCGACCGAGAUGGGUGCCGUGGAGCUCCCGAAGAUCGACUUCUCCGGCGUGGACGCGUCGGCGCCGGGGACGGGGCGGUGGGACGCAGUGCGCGCGGAGGUGAUGGACGCGCUGGCCACCUUCGGCUGCUUCGACGCGCACUACCCGGCGCUCGCCCCGGCGCAGCGCGCCGCGCUCUUCGACGGCGCCGUCCGCCCGCUCUUCGCGCUGCCUGUGGACGCCAAGCGCCGCAACCACUACGGGCCCGGCAAGCCCUUCCACGGCUACCUCGGGGGCCUCCCGGGCCUCCACGCCUAUGAGAGCCUCGCCAUUGUCGGCGGGCCCGAGCUGGGCGCCGUCCAGGCCUUCGCCGACCUCUUGUUCCCCGCCGCCGACAACGCCGCCUUCUGCGAGGCUGUUCACGGCGCGGCGGCGCGGAUGGCGGAGCUGGAGGGGGCGGUGCGGCGGAUGGUCAUGGAGGGGCUCGGGGUGGCCGUCGACGAGGGCCAGGCCCAGAGCGCGCCCUUCUGGCACCUGUUCCGGAUGUCAGAGUACGGGGCGCCGACCGCCGACGAGAGGGCGAGAGAGGUGCGGUACGGGUCGCACCAGGACACCAACUCGCUGAGCGUGGUGUGCCAGCACGAGGUCGACGGGCUGGAGAUGCAGGCCAGGGACGGGCGGUGGGUCCUCGUCCGGCCGUCGCCGGCGUCGCUCGUCGUCAUGGCCGGCAACGCUCUCCGGGCGUGGUCCAACGACCGGGUGCACGCGCCGUUCCACCGGAUAAGCGUGGGCGGGGACGCGACGAGGUACUCGGCCAUCCUCUUCUCCGUCCCCGGCGAGCCGACGAUACGCGUGCGCGACGAGCUCGUGGACGAGGCCGGCGGCCACCCUCGCCGGUUCAGGGACUACGACUACGACGAGUUCGUUCGCUUCUGCGUCUCCGAGGAGGGUGGUCGCCAUGACGACAAGCUCAAGGCCUACUGCGGAGUAGCUGUGUAG